AUUGAACGCUGGCGGCAUGCCUUACACAUUCAAGUCGAACGGUAACGCGGCGCAACCUGGCGACGAGUGGCGAACGGGUGAGUAAUGUAUCGGAACGUGCCCAGUUGCGGGGGAUAACUGCUCGAAAGAGGAGCUAAUACCGCAUACGACCUGACGGGGGAAGCGGGGGAUCGCAAGACCUCGCGCAAUUGGAGCGGCCGAUAUCAGAUUAGGUAGUUGGUGGGCUAAAGGCCCACCAAGCCAACGAUCUGUAGCUGGUCUGAGAGGACGACCAGCCACGCUGGGACUGAGACACGGCCCAGACUCCUACGGGAGGCAGCAGUGGGGAAUUUUGGACAAUGGACGCAAGUCUGAUCCAGCCAUGCCGCGUGCGGGAAGAAGGCCUUCGGGUUGUAAACCGCUUUUGUCAGGGAAGAAACGCUCUGGGUUAAUACCUCGGGGUAAUGACGGUACCUGAAGAAUAAGCACCGGCUAACUACGUGCCAGCCGCCGCAGUAACAC
rnacentral:rRNA from 1 species